rnacentral:rRNA from 1 species
GACGUAGGGUGCAAGCGUUGUCCGGAAUUACUGGGCGUAAAGGGCUCGUAGGUGGCCAACUAAGUCAGACGUGAAAUCCCUCAGCUUAACUGGGGAACUGCGUCUGAUACUGGAUGGCUUGAGUUUGGGAGAGGGACGCGGAAUUCCAGGUGUAGCGGUGAAAUGCGUAGAUAUCUGGAGGAACACCGGUGGCGAAGGCGGCGUCCUGGACCAACACUGACACUGAUGAGCGAAAGCCAGGGGAGCAAACGGG